CGCGGUUUAAGUAAAUAAGGAAUCGUGUCGCUCCAGCCAAUUAGAAACGUCCUGGGCGAAUUUGUAACACGUAUUUAGGCAAGUAGUGUCAUUCGUCUAUAGAAAAUCAUCGUGGUCGGAUGAUUCUCCAGUUUGGAACAUACAAUAAUAUCUAAAUUGUUUGAUUGGGAUUCUUCAGAAAUUUCGAAGGAAUAUAUGGUGAUUUAUAAUCGAUAAUUCUUCUGAUAUUCAGAUAUUGUUAUAUGCAGUUAAUUGUUAAAAUGGCGAAAUGGCGGGAAGAAUUUCAAUAAUAUAUAUAUAUAUAAAUUUCAAAUUUCAAUGGAUGCCAAUGAAAUUAAAAUGGCUUCGAUGAA